GUGAAAGUAAAAGAGUGGGACAGACAAAGCUUCCUGUUUCAUUUACUAAGUAUUUGCACGUGUCAGAAAGUACGUGGGCGUCGUAAAAAGACCUUCAGCUCAUGUUCUUCUUCACUAACCGACCUCGUGCACUUCUUUUUCUCCUGAUCAUACAAAGAUACUCUUAUAUAUUAAAUCUCAUCAGUCAUUUCAUAGCAAUUUCUUACAUAUAUUCGGAUAAUAAGGACGGAUUAUUCCAGAGUGGAAGAUAGAAAAAGGAUGUUGAUCAGCAGUUAACACUGCCAGUGGGUUAGAGUUUAGCCUACAUUCUUGAGAAAGAACAACAAACCGAUAUUUCAGUCGGUAGAGAAAUUUUUGAAAAGAUCUACAAAAGAGAAUAUUUCAUAGGAAAUAUGAAUAACUCACCAACAUAACUGAAUCUUCAGCUGGAAUUUUUCAAGUGCGAUAUGAAUUCUUAACAUUAAUUUGAAUUUUUUUUCACUGAAAACGCAGUGACUCAUCUUAUUAAAUACAUGUAUUACAUGGAAUAUAAAUAAUCAAUUUCAAUUUCGUCCGCAAUUAUCAGCACAUUUCUAAACACAGUUACACCAUUUUGCAUUCAAAUAUUUCUCAUAGAAACCAAAUAAAAAGCAAUUAAGAAAAGCAAGAAAAGAAAAUUUUAGAGUUAAAAUUGAUAAUAUUUUCAAUUAAUUCUGUUGAAUGAACGCAUUAUGGAACGUAUUGAAAUGAAUCAUUUGAAUAUACCGAGCCCACAUUCGGACGAGAAUGGUGAUGGAAAUAGCAACACUUUGUAUGGAAGUACAAUGACGCUGGGCGCAAGCUCUCCGGGAGUUGGCGCAUCCACAGCGAAUUUACUUAAGAUUGAUUUGGAGAAAAAAAUCGAUCGACAUACGGGUGAAGAAAGAGAAACCUGGGAUAAUCGUGUCCAGUUCAUUCUCUCAUUGGCUGGUUUUGCUGUAGGACUCGGAAAUGUUUGGCGUUUCCCAUAUUUGACUCAGAAAAAUGGAGGAGGAGCAUUUCUUAUACCAUACGCAGUAAUGCUGUUUGUGGAAGGAAUUCCUAUAUUCUAUUUGGAAUUAGCUCUAGGUCAAAGAUUACGCAAAGGAGCUAUCGGUUGCUGGAAUCAAGUAUCACCUUAUUUAGGUGGUCUUGGUAUAGCUGCCGCCGUUGUUUCCUUCAACGUGGCUCUCUAUUACAACACAAUCAUGGCAUGGUGCAUGUACUAUCUAGUGGAAAGUUUUCAGAGCCCUCUACCUUGGUCUUCCUGUCCAUCUGAAACAGUGGGUAAUAUUACGACAUAUAACCAGGAAUGUGAAAAAAGUGGUUCGACAACCUACUUCUGGUUUCGUGUCGCUCUCAACAGUGCUCCGUCGAUCGAUACAGCACCUAUAAUAAGCUGGAAGAUAUCGGCCGCAUUAGUAUGCGCUUGGUUAUUGGUUUUCUGUUGUAUGAUCAAAGGCAUCAAAUCUUCUGGAAAGGUUGUCUAUGUUACAGCAACUUUCCCAUAUUUUGUCCUGGUCAUUUUUUUCUUUCGCGGAGUAACUCUACAUGGAUUUGAGGAAGGUGUAAAAUACUUAUUCAUUCCAAAGUGGGACAAGUUAUUCGAACCUGCUGUUUGGUUAGAUGCAGCAACUCAAAUAUUCUAUUCAUUUGGCUUAGCAUUCGGAUGCUUGGUAGCUUUGGCUUCAUAUAAUCCAGUCCGCAGUAACUUUCUUAGUGAAGCUCUUAUGGUCAGUAUCGGCGACUUCUUCACUUCCUUAUUGACUGCCACAGUGGUUUUCUCAGUUCUCGGUUUCAAAGCAACAAUGGCAUACGAGAAAUGCCUUGAGAAAUUUGGCAGCACAAAUCACACAAAGAAUCCUAACACCACAGUAGAAAAGGAAUGUGAUUUUGAAAAGCUAAUGACAGAGUCAGCCUCCGGGACCGGACUAGCAUUCAUUGCCUUCACAGAAGCAAUCGAUCAGUUUCCUGUUGCCCCAUUGUGGGCCGUUCUCUUCUUCCUCAUGCUGCUCACACUUGGAUUGGACACAAUGUUUGGUACUCUUGAAGGUGCCAUUACAUCUAUAAAUGAUAUGUUAUUGUUUCCUGCAAUCAGAAAAGAAGUUGUUUGUGGCGUUGUAUGUUUCGUGUCAAUGUUAAUAUCAUUUUGCUUUGCAACGUCAACUGGUCCAUAUGUUUUUGACCUGUUCGACAUGUAUUGUGCAAAUAUCCCUCUUCUAGUCAUUGCCUUCCUUGAAGUAAUCGCAGUUUCAUACAUAUACGGACUGAAACAGUUUAGUGAUGACGUAGAAAUGAUGGUUGGAAUACGUCCCAGUUACUUUUGGAUGUUUAUGUGGCGUUAUCUAGCACCUCUAGUUAUGAUAGUCAUUUUCGUUGCUAGUUUGUUCGAAAUUUUAGAGAAUGGAUCUUAUUAUAUGGCAUGGGAUGCAGCAAAGGGUCACACUGUGAUGCAGCCCCGGCCAUGGUGGGCGCAAUUCAUAGCUGCACUUCUGAUCCUCUCCUCGGUGGCAUGGAUUCCAUUUAUAGCCAUUACACGUUACUUCAACUUAGUUAAAUGGGAACCUGAGACGCCAGCUUUCUUUCCAGCCGAAGAACUACGGGAAGAACGAAACAUCAAGCCUCAUCAAGCUACAUUUGUUGAAAAAUAUUUCUUUGGAUUUAAAGGCUGAACAGCAAUGCACCUUUAACAAACGCGUGUAUGUACAGACUGUGCAUACACACAUGUAUGUAUGUAUGUGUAU
rnacentral:misc_RNA from 1 species